rnacentral:rRNA from 1 species
AUUGAACGCUGGCGGCAGGCCUAACACAUGCAAGUCGAGCGGAUGAAGGGAGCUUGCUCCUGGAUUCAGCGGCGGACGGGUGAGUAAUGCCUAGGAAUCUGCCUGGUAGUGGGGGAUAACGUCCGGAAACGGGCGCUAAUACCGCAUACGUCCUGAGGGAGAAAGUGGGGGAUCUUCGGACCUCACGCUAUCAGAUGAGCCUAGGUCGGAUUAGCUAGUUGGUGGGGUAAAGGCCUACCAAGGCGACGAUCCGUAACUGGUCUGAGAGGAUGAUCAGCCACCUUGGACUUGAGACCCGUUCCGGCCUCUUACGGAGGCAGCAGUGGGGAAUAUUGGACAAUGGGCGAAAGCCUGAUCCAGCCAUGCCGCGUGUGUGAAGAAGGUCUUCGGAUUGUAAAGCACUUUAAGUUGGGAGGAAGGGCAGUAAGUUAAUACCUUGCUGUUUUGACGUUACCAACAGAAUAAGCACCGGCUAACUUCGUG